CCCAUGUAGAUAUCAAGGGCUCAUUCUAAGCUAAAAAACCCCACAUUGUUUUGCUGUCACAGGUAAUUAAUAAGUCAAUGCUACACUCCAUUUCAGCUAAUAAAUGCCACUAAACCUACACACUGUAGCUUUAAAGACAAAUGAAAAAUCAGAAUAAUUAAAGCCUGGUUUGUUUUUACAAUCUGUGAUUACAUUUUAUAAGAGUUGCAAACAUUAAAAACUAGGGAUGGGAUGACUAGCCCUAAGAGCAGACUAUGACUAUCUAACAUCCGACUAG